CCUGUCCAGGCGGCCUUAACAGGAAAGUGUGGCGGGCUGGUGGCUGGCUUCUCACAACUUGCUGCGGACCUCGCCACCGAAUGACAUCCGUGGUCUCUUGGGAGUUGUAGUUUCUGGGAGCCUUCUCUCCCUUGUCCUUGAAUGACCUCGAUAGCUUCCCUGGCCAUUGGCCGAAUAACGGCCAGGACUGACCUCUAAAUGCAGGUCUGUGUUCCCAUUAGCCCGCGAGCACCUUGAGAGCUGACUCACGCCAGGACGCCCAGCCCUUAGCAGAGAGCCUGGCAAUAGAAGCUGCUCAAUAAAUAUCUGUGGGAUAAAUGAAUACAUAAUGUGGAGAAGAGAGGCAGCUCCACCUCCAUGAGGCGGUUUACUGUUGCAUUGCUGGUAAGAGCAAAAAGUGGGCCCAGCUGUGAUGUUCAGCAAAAGGGACCUGGUUCCACGAACGACGGCAUGAUGUGCAACCGUACAAAUGAACGAGGAAGAUCUCUGUGUGCUGAUGGGGAAGAACUUCGGGACUUACCGGUCAGUGAAACCAACGGUGACGUGGAACGGCAUGGAGCAGUGUGUAUGGCAGGCUACUUUGUGUGUGAUGAGGUGGGGUGUGUGUUCGUCUGCUCUUGCGUCCGCCUCCAGCAUCCAGGAAGGGAGCGCCUCUCCUUGGGAGAUGGCGGAGGGGGAGGAGCGCAGAAGGCAGGGCAGGACUUCUCUGGGCACAUUAUCUCUGGAGCGUGUUAAAUUUCAGAUCAUGCAAAUGUGGUGCCUAAUCAAAAUACGUUUGAAACUCACUCUGGCCGCUCUAUGAAGAGAGUAGGGACAGAAAAGUAGAAGCUGUGAGACCACUUAGGAAGUUACUGAAGUGGUCCAGGCGAGGGGUGGGGGCGGCUGCGCUGGGCGGCAACGGUGGCGGCAGUGGGGCUGCUAAGGAGGAGUUGGUUUGGGGGUGGAGAGCCAACUGGACACAUCGAUAGUUUGGGUGGAGUAUGUGAGAAGAAGGAGAAGAAAAACAAGUCCAGGAUAAUUCCUGAUGUUUGUCUUGAGCAACUAGCGGGGAGAGGACGGGGCAGAGGGGGCACGGGCAGGGAGAGCCAGGAAUCGAGGGCUCUGUUUCAAACACAUUAAGGACACGCCUGGAGAGAUUUCUCCAAAGAUGAGUUCAAUUCCCCAUGAGUUCAACUUAAAGCAUUGGGAGACCCUGGUCAAAUUAAUAAAAUCCUCAAAUAAACUUCCAUCUUUAUUUUCCUGCUGCACAAAUAAAAUAUAAAGGAAAAAUGUAUUUGUUAUUACAAAUUUUGGGGGGAGAGAGUUUUGUUCCUAAAUUUUGAGCAAUGGACUAAGAUGAUAGAAAAUACUCCGGGGAUCCAGGGUGGCGGGGGAGCAGGUGGGAGCUACACUCCCACCCUCCCAGGACCGAACCGGAAUCACCACUAAAAUACGGAACUUCAGUCCCCAGUAGGGGCACACGCCUGGGCCCCUGCUGGGACGCUCACGGAAGACGGCCAAUCAGUGUUUCUCUGUCACAUUGACGUUUCUCUCCCCUUCUUUGUCCCUUCAUUCCCCUCUCUCUAAAACCAAAAAUCAAAAUUAAAAAUUAAAAAAAAAGCAUAGAGAAAAAUAGACCUAAAUAGCUAACUGGAGAUUAGCCGGCAGGAAGUCUUACAGCCAAGGAGUUACAGAAGAAGCCACAGCAAGACUGGCAGGAAGCACAGAGACUGCUGUGAAAGGGCUGGCCCCCUCCCGUGGGCGGCAGCUGAGGUUCCAGAGGGAUCCCGCAGCUGCUGGGGGAUCCCCCUGACAAGCAUGGCAUCUCCAGCCCAAGCUGGGCUCCCCAGCCCAGAGCACCGGAGCACCAGAGCCAGGAAGAGAUGCCCACAGGACGUCUGGCUGUGAAAAGCAGCAGCGUUUCCGUCUGCCAGGGAGAGACGGCCAGAAACACGGGCACCCUCUUAAAGGGCCAAUGGACAGCAUCUCACCUGCAGCUGCUUGUCCUGGGCUCCGGCAGAGGGAGGGCGGAGCACACUGGAGCUGUGUGAGGAGAGACAGGAGUUCGUGUCUCUAGAGAGAGAGCCCAGGCGACAGCCACUGGAACUGUCUGUGUUCAGUCCCUCUACUGUACUGCAGACGCCAUCUUUCUCGGCUGGAGCACGCCCCUCUUGCGGCAUUGGCCUGGGGGAAAGCAAUAGCCCCACCCUCUGGGCUCCCCAACAUCCCACCCUGGGGAGCUUCCACCCUGCUGAGGAGUCAGACUCAGGCUCCCAGCCAACCCACCAUCUUGACUCUUGGUGGCUCCUCCCUGCCGAGGUCUGGACUGAACUCUGGACGGUCGGAGUUGUGUGACCCUGGGGCAAGGGCCACAACCCCAAACUUGCCCCAAACCAGACCGGUACCACCCCUCUCUCGACUCCCAGUUGCCCCUCCCUGCUGAGAUCGGGCUCCUGGCAGAAUAUGGGGUGGCCUGAGCUGUGUGGCUCUGGGGCGGGGAAAUUUUUCAAUCACGCGCCCCACCGGUGCAGAGCCUUCCCUUCAGAGGGCCAAACCUUGGUCUGCCGAAGCCUGCUGAUAAACUCUGCUGGCCUCGCCCUGACGGCUCCCUGAGACCCGCCCCACCACAAAGGUGUGUGAGCACCCGGCAGGCGGCAGCUAGACUCGCUGUGCCCUGGGCCAUUGGCUGAAUGGCCCCAGAGCCAGCACUGGCACCAAGAUGGACCCCGCAUAGAUCCGGACAACACCUCUUGCGCCUACCCGGCGACUCUCUGAAACGUGACUGCAUGUGACCUGAGUAUUGCCAGAGGCUCUUUCAGUGACUGAGCCUAACAGGCAGCCAGCAGGCGGAGGCGACCUCGGGGUUCCUAGGGACUCUCUCUGACCUGCCUUGGCGCCGAGUACUGGGAAAAGUGGACUUGGUGGGAACGGACAGACCCUGCAGUGGCAGAAACACAGGAAAAUAAAGGGAACUUACACUUUUUCUCUUGGACACUGAAUUGACGUCAUUAUUAAUAAAAUAAUGCCCCACACAUCCUAGACUGGUAACAGGGCAGGAAAUAGAGGGUAAUCAUUUUU